UGGGGAAUAUUGGACAAUGGGGGGAACCCUGAUCCAGCCAUGCCGCGUGUGUGAAGAAGGCCUUAUGGUUGUAAAGCACUUUAAGCGAGGAGGAGGGUACUGGUAUUAAUACUACCAGCUACUGGACGUUACUCGCAGAAUAAGCACCGGCUAACUCUGUGCCAGCAGCCGCGGUAAUACAGAGGGUGCGAGCGUUAAUCGGAUUUACUGGGCGUAAAGCGUGCGUAGGCGGCUAAUUGAGUCGGAUGUGAAAUCCCCGAGCUUAACUUGGGAGUUGCAUUCGAUACUGGUUAGCUAGAGUGUGGGAGAGGAUGGUAGAAUUCCAGGUGUAGCGGUGAAAUGCGUAGAGAUCUGGAGGAAUACCGAUGGCGAAGGCAGCCAUCUGGCCUAACACUGACGCUGAGGUACGAAAGCAUGGGGAGCAAACAGG
rnacentral:rRNA from 1 species